rnacentral:rRNA from 1 species
GAUGAACGCUGGCGGCGUGCCUAAUACAUGCAAGUCGAGCGAACGGACGAGAAGCUUGCUUCUCUGAUGUUAGCGGCGGACGGGUGAGUAACACGUGGAUAACCUGCCUAUAAGACUGGGAUAACUUCGGGAAACCGGAGCUAAUACCGGAUAAUAUUUUGAACCGCAUGGUUCAAAAGUGAAAGACGGUCUUGCUGUCACUUAUAGAUGGAUCCGCGCUGCAUUAGCUAGUUGGUAAGGUAACGGCUUACCAAGGCAACGAUGCAUAGCCGACCUGAGAGGGUGAUCGGCCACACUGGAACUGAGACACGGUCCAGACUCCUACGGGAGGCAGCAGUAGGGAAUCUUCCGCAAUGGGCGAAAGCCUGACGGAGCAACGCCGCGUGAGUGAUGAAGGUCUUCGGAUCGUAAAACUCUGUUAUUAGGGAAGAACAUAUGUGUAAGUAACUGUGCACAUCUUGACGGUACCUAAUCAGAAAGCCACGGCUAACUACGUGCCAGCAGCCGCGGUAAUACGUAGGUGGCAAGCGUUAUCCGGAAUUAUUGGGCGUAAAGCGCGCGUAGGCGGUUUUUUAAGUCUGAUGUGAAAGCCCACGGCUCAACCGUGGGGGGUCAUUGGAAACUGGAAAACUUGAGUGCAGAAGAGGAAAGUGGAAUUCCAUGUGUAGCGGUGAAAUGCGCAGAGAUAUGGAGGAACACCAGUGGCGAAGGCGACUUUCUGGUCCGUAACUGACGCUGAUGUGCGAAAGCGUGGGGAUCAAACAGGAUUAGAUACCCUGGUAGUCCACGCCGUAAACGAUGAGUGCUAAGUGUUAGGGGGUUUCCGCCCCUUAGUGCUGCAGCUAACGCAUUAAGCACUCCGCCUGGGGAGUACGACCGCAAGGUUGAAACUCAAAGGAAUUGACGGGGACCCGCACAAGCGGUGGAGCAUGUGGUUUAAUUCGAAGCAACGCGAAGAACCUUACCAAAUCUUGACAUCCUUUGACAACUCUAGAGAUAGAGCCUUCCCCUUCGGGGGACAAAGUGACAGGUGGUGCAUGGUUGUCGUCAGCUCGUGUCGUGAGAUGUUGGGUUAAGUCCCGCAACGAGCGCAACCCUUAAGCUUAGUUGCCAUCAUUAAGUUGGGCACUCUAAGUUGACUGCCGGUGACAAACCGGAGGAAGGUGGGGAUGACGUCAAAUCAUCAUGCCCCUUAUGAUUUGGGCUACACACGUGCUACAAUGGACAAUACAAAGGGCAGCGAAACCGCGAGGUCAAGCAAAUCCCAUAAAGUUGUUCUCAGUUCGGAUUGUAGUCUGCAACUCGACUACAUGAAGCUGGAAUCGCUAGUAAUCGUAGAUCAGCAUGCUACGGUGAAUACGUUCCCGGGUCU